CCUAGGGUGGCUGCAGUGGGGAAUAUUGGACAAUGGGCGAAAGCCUGAUCCAGCCAUGCCGCGUGUGUGAAGAAGGCCUUCGGGUUGUAAAGCACUUUCAGUGGGGAAGAAAGCCUUGGGGCUAAUACCCUCGAGGAAGGACAUCACCCACAGAAGAAGCACCGGCUAACUCCGUGCCAGCAGCCGCGGUAAUACGGAGGGUGCGAGCGUUAAUCGGAAUUACUGGGCGUAAAGCGCGCGUAGGCGGUCUGAUAAGCCGGUUGUGAAAGCCCCGGGCUCAACCUGGGAACGGCAUCCGGAACUGUCAGGCUAGAGUGCAGGAGAGGAAGGUAGAAUUCCCGGUGUAGCGGUGAAAUGCGUAGAGAUCGGGAGGAAUACCAGUGGCGAAGGCGGCCUUCUGGACUGACACUGACGCUGAGGUGCGAAAGCGUGGGUAGCAAACAGGAUUAGAUACCCGAGUAGUC
rnacentral:rRNA from 1 species